rnacentral:sRNA from 1 species
GCAGAAGGGACACCUGAUACAACGGCUAUUUACUUCUCAGGAAGCCUUUCUUUCCUAAAACGAGCACCAGCAUAAGAUGUGUGAACCCUAGAAAGUGUGGUUGUUCUACCUCUCGGAGUGAUCCAAGAGACCUGCUGGUUUGAAGCUCGAAGCAUAAGUUGACAUAUCCAUUGGUGGUAUAGGCUUGAAAAUCCAGAUAGGAAUCAAGUGAAACGCUAAUGAGACUCUCUCAAAGUGGAAUUCUCUGUGUACGCUCUAAACAGUGCUCGCCGGCAAGUUCACCAUUGAAACAAAUGCCUUGAGUUGUUGAAAUGCAGGUUCACAAGUCCUGUUGGUAAUAUAAAUUUGUGAAUGGUACACAAAUCAUCCUCAGCAAACGUUUUUCGAAAAGAGGAUUUACGCAGGACCAUAGUUGCCCAUCUUGAACAACAGUCGGAACAAACCAUGGCCUGCAAAUUUGAAGGCGUUCCUCUCAUGAAGCAAGCUUUUUAUUCUCUCUGCAUCACUAUACCUUCCAACACCAGCAAAGAUGUUGGACAUAAG